UACGUAGGGUGCAAGCGUUGUCCGGAAUUAUUGGGCGUAAAGAGCUUGUAGGCGGUUUGUCGCGUCUGCUGUGAAAUUUCGGGGCUCAACCCCGAACUUGCAGUGGGUACGGGCAGACUAGAGUGUGGUAGGGGAGACUGGAAUUCCUGGUGUAGCGGUGAAAUGCGCAGAUAUCAGGAGGAACACCGAUGGCGAAGGCAGCACUCUGGGCCGGUACUGACGCUGAGGAGCGAAAGCGUGGGGAGCGAACAGG
rnacentral:rRNA from 1 species